rnacentral:rRNA from 1 species
AACGAACGCUGGCGGCAGGCUUAACACAUGCAAGUCGAGCGCAUCCUUCGGGGUGAGCGGCGGACGGGUGAGUAACGCGUGGGAACGUGCCCUCUUCUACGGAAUAGCCUCGGGAAACUGAGAGUAAUGCCGUAUACGCCCGCAAGGGGAAAGAUUUAUCGGAGGAGGAUCGGCCCGCGUUGGAUUAGGUAGUUGGUGGGGUAACGGCCUACCAAGCCGACGAUCCAUAGCUGGUUUGAGAGGAUGAUCAGCCACACUGGGACUGAGACACGGCCCAGACUCCUACGGGAGGCAGCAGUGGGGAAUCUUGGACAAUGGGGGCAACCCUGAUCCAGCCAUGCCGCGUGAUCGAUGAAGGCCUUAGGGUUGUAAAGAUCUUUCAGCUGGGAAGAUAAUGACGGUACCAGCAGAAGAAGCCCCGGCUAACUCCGUGC